GAUCUUCUCCGCGCUGCUCUUUUUCUUCCACUCUUCUAGUGGAUGAAUGACUACGGACCCAUUUACAGGCUCGCCGCUGGCCCUAGAAAUUUUGUCGUGGUUAGUGACCCCGCCAUUGCUAACCACGUUCUCAGCAGUUAUGGGACUUUCGCUAAAGGCCUUGUUUCUGAUGUCCCCGAGUUCUUGUCGGGGUCGGGUUUCGCGAUUGCAGAAGCCCCUCUUUGGACGGAGAAGUGUUGAAGAACUCAUUGCGAAGUGCAAAGAAAUUGUGGGAGCUGAGGAGGAAUAUGUGAAUGACGCUGAUCCAAGCAUCCUUUGAUUUUUGCUGGUCAGUACACAAGAGGGUUUGGGAUGAAGCAGAAGAGUUUAUAUCAGAAAGAUUUGAGUUGGAAGGUCCUGUGCCUAAUGAAAGCAAUGCAGAUUUCAGGUACUUAUUCUGUUUUUGUGUGGAGACUACCCUGUUGAUUGUUUUAAAUAGUACAGUAGACACUUACUAGUCGCUCACAUAGCCAUGCUUGGUGCAAGAAGCUUGACCCCGGGUGAGUUGGGAGGGAGUCCUACAUUGACUAAUUAAAAGUUUGAUCAUGAGUUUAUAAGUAAGGAAUACAUCUCCC